rnacentral:lncRNA from 1 species
AUGAGUUGUGUAAAUUGCAUGGGAUUAACCAUCCGAGACGAAGGUGUUUCGCUUGGCCGUGAUUGUUGGAGGAAGGAGAUCUACGACGAUGUCGUGUGGAUCGAUGAAUGCUUCUUCUACGCUCCACCUCGCCGGUCGUCGACGCAGCUCAUGGACGUCGACGGCGUCGAGGAUCUAGCGUUGCAGAGUCGCGCGAGCCGAUGGACUCCGCCGGAUCCGCGCUUCCCUGGACCACCGCCGCUCGAUCCGGUGGCGAUGGGGGAGGGACACCUAGCCAACAACUCAACCGCAUGA